CAGUGAGCCGAGAUCAUGCCACUGCACUCCAGCACAGGCAACACAGCGAGACUCCGUCUCAAAAAAAAAAAAAAAAAAAAAUUAAUUCAGCUUUACUGUAAGUCUGAAAACAUUCAUAAUAAAAUGUUGGGGGGGAAAAGAUUCAUUCUGAUUGAUGGUGUGAGAAGAGGCUGAAGGGGUCAAAGGUAGAGCAGGGAGAACGGAUGUGGAGGCUAAUAGGAUAAUCCAGGGGAAAGCUGGUGGCUUGGAGAUAGCGGUGGUACUGGAGGUGGAGACAGGGUUUUGAGUCUGCUGUUGUUUGGAGGGACAGCCAGGAGGAUUUCAUAGCAGAUUGGUUGCAGGGUAUGAGAAAGAGAGGGGUCAAGCUUGACAUCAAGUUCUUUGGCCUGGACAGAUGUAGUUACCCGUCCUAGACAAUGGCCAGGCUGCUGUAUUCCAUGCUUCGAUUUUAGAAGGGCCCUUGCCCCACUGUAAAGCAGGUGAAUGUGUCUCUGUGUCCUCCUUUCCCAAGGACUUUCCUUGUCCUCCCCAGACCCAGGCUGUCACCCUGUGUGGCUUCUCCUAGCCUGACCCCUUUAUGAUGCUCAUUGCAUGCUUCCAUCCAAGCCUUGGUAUUGCUAUGGAGUAGAAAUAGAGCUAAACUUGGAGUCAGAAGACCAUGCCUCAGAUACAUUGCCGAACUUUUCAGAAUCCCAGUUUUCUCUUUCAUAAAACAAAGCUAAAAAUGCCCAUCAAGAGUAUGGUGGAAGUGAGAAAACAAGUGAUUGAACAUUGAACUUGAAGAGAAUCUUGUGCAUUUACUCUUUCCUGCUCUGUUUUCUUCACAUGUCAUUCCCCACUGAAAUUUGCCCAUUUUGGAUCUCAUUACCCUGAAGGUCCUGGAUUUGUUGGAAAGUUCCGUGUAAUUCCUGGAGUUCUAUGGUGACGUUGUCAAGUACAAAGCGCUGGCCUAGGAGCUACGACAUGGGAGUUCCAAGCCUGCUCUUUCUCGCACGAGCUGAAUUCAGAAAAGCCUGAAUUUGCAAAAAGUUUGUUUCGAUCAUCAUAGGCAAGGUGAAAUAGAAAGUCGAAGAAAUCAUCUCGGUCAUUACGAGUCCUCAAGUAGUUGCUUUUUGUACUUUGAAUAAAGACUUUAGUCAUAGUAGGAGAGAUAGACUGUAAUGGACUUACUUCACGAUGGCUGCACCAGAGGUUCCAAGAACGAUGGCUUUCAACUUCAACCCACAUCUAAAACACACCACUGUAGCCACACCCUACACCCUGUGGUUAUCCAGUUGUGAGUCCUAUUGGAGAGAUGAGGUGUAUGACAGUUUCCUGGAGGGGGUCAUAUGGAUCUACUACUACCUUCCCACUGACAUUAGGCAGAUGUUCAUUAGAUUGGUUUGAUAGAUGUAAUGGUUAAUAUUGAGUGUCAACUUGAUUGGAUUGAAGGAUGCAAAGUAUUGUUCCUGGGUGCGUCUGUGAGGGUGUUGCCAAAGGAGAUUAACAUUUGAAUCAUUGGACUGGGAGAGGCAGACCCACCCUCAAUCUGGGUGGGCACAAUCUAAUCAGCUGCCAGCAUGGCCAGCAUAAAAGCAGGCAGAAGAAUGUGGAAGGAGUAGACUGGCUCAGUCUCCUGGCCUACAUCUUUCUCCCACGCUGCAUGCUUCCUGCCCUCGAACAUUGGACUCCAAGUUCUUCAGUUUUGGGACUCUUGAACCUUUGACCACAGACUGAAGGCUACACUGUUGACUUCCCUACUUUUGAGCUUUUAGGACUCGGACUGGCUUCCUUGUUCCUCAGCUUGCAGACGGCCUAUUGUGGGACCUCACUUUGUGAUCAUGUGAGUCAAUACUCCUUAAUAAACUCUCCUUUAAAUAUACAUCUAUCUUGUUAGUUCUGUCCCUCUAGAGAACCUUGACUAAUACGAUAGGGAAGCCAUAGUGACUGUCACUAAUAUUCUAAUAAAAGAAUUAUUAUCUAUGCCAACUCUGGAGAGCCACAGGUAAGCUAUACAUAGAUCAAAGUGUAAACCAGGGGUUCUCUGAGUGUGAUUCCUGGACCAGCAGUAUGUGGUGACAUUUGAAAUGCAAAUUCUUGGGCCCCACCUCAGACCACUGAAUUAGAAACUCCAGAGGUGGAGCUCAGCAGUUUGUUUUAACUAGUUCUCCAGGUGAUGCUGAGGCACAUCACAGUUGGAAAUGGUGAGGUAAGUAAGGAAUUUCAGCAGUUCAACUGCUGAAAUGUAGAUCUUAACAAAGUGCUAAAUGAAUAGAGGAAAAAGGGAUAAUUAUCUGAGACAUUUGGAUCUUGUUUCACGAAUAGGAGUUCAGAUGAAGUUAGGGAGGUCUUUUGAAGUAUAGGAAACAAGACAUGCAAAGACUGGGGAGGUUAGGAAGACCAGACCUAUUUCAAGAUAUACAAUGGCCUAGUGGGGCUUGAGGUAGCAGGGUGCAUUCUUUUUCUUAGAUAUGCUUCCUCCUCUCUGCUCCAUGGUGCCACACAUGAUGCUGGUGAUAAAGGAGACUGAGCGAGGGUAAAGAUUCACAGUGCCAGCAAGGGCUUGGACAUUGGCAGCCUAUGGAUCAAAUUGUGCUUGCAGAUGGGCUGUAUUUGGUAUUUUAUUGUACAAACACUAUGUAUUUGGCAUAGCAUUAUACAAAUAAAUGUGAACUAACAUUUAAUAAUCAGUUUGGAUGUAUAUAUGUGUAUAUAUAUUAUGUAUAAAUAACAUAUAUGCUAACACAAAAAUAUAUGUGCUAUAUUUAUAUUCUAUACAAAUAACAUAUAAAUAUAUGUUAACAUAUAAAAAUAUAUG
rnacentral:lncRNA from 1 species